rnacentral:piRNA from 1 species
AAAGUAUAGGAGUCUAAGCAAGGU